rnacentral:rRNA from 1 species
GCCUACGGGAGGCAGCAGUAAGGAAUAUUGGUCAAUGGACGCAAGUCUGAACCAGCCAUGCCGCGUGGAGGAUGAAGGUCCUCUGGAUUGUAAACUUCUUUUAUAUGGGACGAAAAUGGGUCUUUCCAGAUCAACUGACGGUACCAUAUGAAUAAGCACCGGCUAACUCCGUGCCAGCAGCCGCGGUAAU